rnacentral:rRNA from 1 species
AGUCGAGCGAGCUUGCCUAGAUGAUUUUAGUGCUUGCACUAAAUGAAACUAGCUACAAGCGAGCGGCGGACGGGUGAGUAACACGUGGGUAACCUGCCCAAGAGACUGGGAUAACACCUGGAAACAGAUGCUAAUACCGGAUAACAACACUAGACGCAUGUCUAGAGUUUGAAAGAUGGUUCUGCUAUCACUCUUGGAUGGACCUGCGGUGCAUUAGCUAGUUGGUAAGGUAACGGCUUACCAAGGCAAUGAUGCAUAGCCGAGUUGAGAGACUGAUCGGCCACAUUGGGACUGAGACACGGCCCAAACUCCUACGGGAGGCAGCAGUAGGGAAUCUUCCACAAUGGACGAAAGUCUGAUGGAGCAACGCCGCGUGAGUGAAGAAGGGUUUCGGCUCGUAAAGCUCUGUUGGUAGUGAAGAAAGAUAGAGGUAGUAACUGGCCUUUAUUUGA